rnacentral:lncRNA from 1 species
CAGCAGCAACAAGGUAGCUGGCACAGAAAAUACAGGAAAUCCUAUUAUGCCAUGAAACAGAAAAUAAAAAAUGCAAUCCUUGUGUUAAUUCUGUAUUUUAAAACUGGGAGCACAUUCCAUAUCUUGCCAAGAAAUACAGACAGAACAUACAAGAACCAUUUUUCUUUUUCACUAAAGAUCUGUUCCCAUGAAGAAAAAAGUAAUUCCUUUAUAGCAUUGUAUCAAUUUGUGUUUUAAAAACAACUUGUUUCCUUGGUGUUGUCAAAGAAUCAGCCUUUAGGCACUACUUAUAAACACCAAGGUCCUAUCUACACAUCAGAGUCCAUCUGUGCAGUUAACACCCUUUAAACUCCAGCCCUUAAACUUACCACCUAGCAAAAAUUCGUUCAUGCUCAUUUACGAUUUAGUGAUGAAAUAAUAUGUAUUGAUUGACCAUGUUAUUUUAAGUAGUUACUUCCCUCAAAUCCAAACCGUGACAUGCAAAAUGUUGAUCUUGUCCAAACAUAAGGAAGUUUCGUUGGCCUAAAUGUUAUAGAAGAUACGUAUGAAAUGAACAGCUCCUAAAUUUCACUAAAAGACAAACAUCCAAUAUCUAAGACUUGACCAUUAUAAACUCCAAAGGGACCAUAAUAUCAGGAUCCGCCAACAUUCCCAGCGCCAAAAAGAAACCUCCCUCUCUGUAAUAAGAACAAAUCGUGCUAAACAUUCAGGCCAAAACUCAACAUUUCAUGGGAAUUCCAAAUCUCUUCGCUGUGUUUAAAAUAAAAGUUUACGUACAAAUCCAUCGCCGCGUAAAAAUUACAGUGAAAAAGUUGAAAACUGAUCCGAAGCUUUGCAACAACUCCAGUUCUGCAUCUGUACUUCCAAGUUCUACGCAUCUAAAAAAUUUUAAAGCUACAGAGAAAGAAGGAUGCCAUACCAGAAGGCGGUGACAGAGGGGAAAUCGCUGGUGGUGGCCAUGACACACAGCGACACUGCCGCAAACGCGAACUGGAAGAAUCGCAACACCAGGCCUCCAAGAGUGCCCGGCAUGCCUUGGAUGUCCUUCAUCCGCGCCCUCGGCGCACCGUUGGCGGCAUCGGUGAGCGGAGGUGCCUCAAUUGGGUGCACCGCAGGGUGGCUUACAUUCAUCGUUUCAGAGAAAAAAAAAAUGCUAUACCGCCACUGUGCCCAUGGAUUCUUGCG